AGUUGAGAACCGUUACUUGACUGGUACCUCCAGCCCACCAGCAGGCAAUGAUGGCAUCAGACUAGAGGAUCACCAGUAAAUCAUUGUAAACAAGCGUGGAAAGAGAGAAAGUCCACUUUAAGCGAUGGAAAAUCAGCCCCAAUUCUGAAGGAACAACCAUGAACAGAUGAUUUAAGGAGAAUCAAUUCUUUGCUCUUUGCAGAAGGAGCCAACAGAGUGAGAUGAAGGGGACAACUUCAGAUACUCAGGCAGAAGGUAGGCUACAGUGAUCAUAAGUCCCCACCUGCUGACCUGCUGCCUGCUAUCUUAACACGAAUUCUUCAUCUGAAUGGAUGAGCUUUUCACAGAGUUCCAAACUAAGGAAUCCAGGAGUGGCCAAUCCAGAGAUUCAUUCCUUAUCUUUGACGAACAUCUGAACUCCUGGCUCAUCCUGUGGAAUUCAGGCCAUACAGGAGAUCAAGGUCAUUUGCUUUGGGUUAAAUGAAUGUUGCCAGGUGGAGGUUGCUAGAGGGAGAGUGCUAUGUGAAAGUGCUGUAUAAACUGCUUGCUUUUCACAAACAGUAGUGAUUCUUUAUCCUGUCCAGCCUGCCACAACUGGACCAUCCUGUAUGUAAGUCCCCUUAAUAAAUCCUGUGUCUCAUUCACUGGCUUCAAGUCUCUUCCUGGGCCUCUUGAACGUGGUGCCACCUGUAUUGAAGUCAACAGAAGUUCAGCACAACACAGGUCAAAAUGAAGAUUCUGACUCAGUAGGUCAGGAUGUUCUAACGAGCUCUAGCUGACAUGAUACGUCAGGGCUGCAGACUAGCUUUGAGCAACAAGG
rnacentral:lncRNA from 1 species